rnacentral:sRNA from 1 species
UACAGAGGGGGUGGGGGUCCUGUUAUGAAUUAUUGAUAUAUUCGGUUAUCAGUUGUUGUUCCUAAAUUUUAAGAGGUUUGUUUUGCGUUUCCUUUUCUUUUCUUUUCUUUUCACUUUUUCAUCUCCUUUAUACAUUCCUAUGGACGAUUCUUGCUGGGCUUUUCUUUUUCUUUUCUUAUCCGUUUGGCAUUUCCGUGUUUAAAUACUACAGCAUCUUUUAAUUUUAGUUGAAUUUUUCUUCUUUUUCCCCUCUAAAUUGAGGAUGAGCUUGUAUGGAAUAAUGAAUCUCAUUUUUCUCAGCUUCCUCUACCCUCUUCUCUAUUUGUUUCAUUAUCCCGGAUUUCCAAUAUGCCGAUAUCGCUUUUAUAACAAUGAAAACAUCACGUUUUGUUUGAAACCCUACCUUCUGGGUGUUAUUAAACGCGACAUAAUUUAGGGUUAGGGUUAGGCAUCAACUGAUCUAUUAUUUACUUACUGUACUCUCUUACAACCUGCGAUUAUGCACAUAAAAGAGGACAG